UACGGAGGGUGCAAGCGUUAUCCGGAUUCACUGGGUUUAAAGGGUGCGUAGGUGGCUUUGUAAGUCAGUGGUGAAAUCUCGGAGCUUAACUCCGAAACUGCCAUUGAUACUGCUUAGCUUGAAUCAAGUAGAGGUGGAUGGAAUAUUACAUGUAGCGGUGAAAAUGCUUAGAUAUGUAAUAGAACACCGAUUGCGAAGGCAGUUCACUAUGCUUGUAUUGACACUGAGGCACGAAAAGCGUGGGGAUCAAACAGG
rnacentral:rRNA from 1 species